UGAAAUCUGACCUCAAAUCAGGUAGGACUACCCGCUGAACUUAAGCAUAUCAAUAAGCGGAGGAAAAGAAACUAACAAGGAUUCCCCUAGUAACUGCGAGUGAAGCGGGAAAAGCUCAAAUUUGAAAUCUGGCGGCCCCGCCGUCCGAGUUGUAUUCUGGAGAAGCGUCUUCCGUGCCGGACCGUGUACAAGUCCCUUGGAACAGGGCGUCGUAGAGGGUGAGAAUCCCGUCUUUGACAUGGACCCCCGGUGCUAUGUGAUGCGCUCUCGAAGAGUCGAGUUGUUUGGGAAUGCAGCUCAAAAUGGGUGGUAAAUUCCAUCUAAAGCUAAAUAUUGGCGAGAGACCGAUAGCGAACAAGUACCGUGAGGGAAAGAUGAAAAGCACUUUGGAAAGAGAGUAAAACAGUACGUGAAAUUGUUGAAAGGGAAACGCUUGAAGUCAGUCGCGUCUGCCGGAACUCAGCCUUGCUCAUGCUUGGUGCACUUUCCGGUCUGACGGGCCAGCAUCGGUUUUGGGCGGCGGACACUGGCGAGGGGAAGGUGGCAGCUCCGGCUGUGUUAUAGCCCCCCGUCGCAAACGUCGUCUGGGACCGAGGAAUCCGGCGCAAGCCUGGGAUGCUGGCGUAAUGGCUUUAAGCGACCCGUCUUGAAACACGGACCAAGGAGUGCUACGUGCUCGCGAGUGUUUGGGUGGAAAACCCGGACGCGCAAUGAAAGUGAAAGUCGAUACCCCUCGCGGGGGCAACGACGCCCGAGCCUGAUGUUUUCGGAAGGCCUUGCGGUAGAGCGAGUGCGUUGCGACCCGAAAGAUGGUGAACUAUUCCUGAGGAGGGCGAACAGAGGAAACUCUGGUGGAGGCUCGUAGCGGUUCUGACGUGCAAAUCGAUCGCAGGACUUGG
rnacentral:rRNA from 1 species